UGGUGUGGAAAGUUUUUCGGUCUGGGAUGGACUCGCGGCCUAUCAGCUUGUUGGUGAGGUAGUGGCUCACCAAGGCGACGACGGGUAGCCGGCCUGAGAGGGCGACCGGCCACACUGGGACUGAGACACGGCCCAGACUCCUACGGGAGGCAGCAGUGGGGAAUAUUGCACAAUGGGCGAAAGCCUGAUGCAGCGACGCCGCGUGAGGGAUGACGGCCUUCGGGUUGUAAACCUCUUUCAGCAGGGAAGAAGCGCAAGUGACGGUACCUGCAGAAGAAGCACCGGCUAACUACGUGCCAGCAGCCGCGGUAAUACGUAGGGUGCGAGCGUUGUCCGGAAUUAUUGGGCGUAAAGAGCUUGUAGGUGGUUUGUCGCGUCUGCUG
rnacentral:rRNA from 1 species